CAGCAGCCACGGUAAUACAGAGGGUGCGAGCGUUAAUCGGAUUUACUGGGCGUAAAGCGUGCGUAGGCGGCUAAUUGAGUCGGAUGUGAAAUCCCCGAGCUUAACUUGGGAAUUGCAUUCGAUACUGGUUAGCUAGAGUGUGGGAGAGGAUGGUAGAAUUCCAGGUGUAGCGGUGAAAUGCGUAGAGAUCUGGAGGAAUACCGAUGGCGAAGGCAGCCAUCUGGCCUAACACUGACGCUGAGGUACGAAAGCAUGGGGAGCAAACAGGAUUAGAUACCCCUGUAGUCCCUGUCUCUUAUAC
rnacentral:rRNA from 1 species